GGCCUUAGGAUAUAUUUUGAAUGGAUUUUUUUGUUUUGGCAAGAGCAUGAGAGCUUUUACUGGGCAAGAAGACAAGAGAUGGAGAGUCCAGCCGGGCCUGCGCUUAAGUGCGCGGUCUUGCUAGGCUUGUAAGUUUCUUUCUUGCUAUUCCAAACGGUGAGAGAUUUCUGUGCUUUUGUUAUAGGACAAUUAAAACCGUUUCAAUACAACACACUGUGGAGUUUUCAUAUCUUUGCAACUUUUUCUUUGGGCAUUCGAGCAAUCGGGGCCCAGAGGUAACAAACACAAACAAUUUUAUUUAUUCAUUAAAUUUUUGUCAAAAACAAGAAUUUUCGUAACUGGAAAUUUUAAAAUAUUAAAAACUUUCAACAACGGAUCUCUUGGUUCUCGCAUCGAUGAAGAACGCAGCGAAAUGCGAUACGUAAUGUGAAUUGCAGAAUUCCGUGAAUCAUCGAAUCUUUGAACGCACAUUGCGCCCCUUGGUAUUCCAGGGGGCAUGCCUGUUUGAGCGUCAUUUCCUUCUCAAACAUUCUGUUUGGUAGUGAGUGAUACUCUUUGGAGUUAACUUGAAAUUGCUGGCCUUUUCAUUGGAUGUUUUUUUUCCAAAGAGAGGUUUCUCUGCGUGCUUGAGGUAUAAUGCAAGUACGGUCGUUUUAGGUUUUACCAACUGCGGCUAAUCUUUUUUAUACUGAGCGUAUUGGAACGUUAUCGAUAAGAAGAGAGCGUCUAGGCGAACAAUGUUCUUAAAGUUUGACCUCAAAUCAGGUAGGAGUACCCGCUGAACUUAAGCAUAUCAUAAGCCGGGGGAAG
rnacentral:rRNA from 1 species